rnacentral:rRNA from 1 species
CAUGCAGUCGACGAUGAUCCCAGCUUGCUGGGGGAUUAGUGGCGAACGGGUGAGUAACACGUGAGUAACCUGCCCUUAACUCUGGGAUAAGCCUGGGAAACUGGGUCUAAUACCGGAUAUGACUCCUCAUCGCAUGGUGGGGGGUGGAAAGCUUUAUUGUGGUUUUGGAUGGACUCGCGGCCUAUCAGCUUGUUGGUGAGGUAAUGGCUCACCAAGGCGACGACGGGUAGCCGGCCUGAGAGGGUGACCGGCCACACUGGGACUGAGACACGGCCCAGACUCCUACGGGAGGCAGCAGUGGGGAAUAUUGCACAAUGGGCGAAAGCCUGAUGCAGCGACGCCGCGUGAGGGAUGACGGCCUUCGGGUUGUAAACCUCUUUCAGUAGGGAAGAAGCGAAAGUGACGGUACCUGCAGAAGAAGCGCCGGCUAACUACGUGCCAGCAGCCGCGGUAAUACGUAGGGCGCAAGCGUUAUCCGGAAUUAUUGGGCGUAAAGAGCUCGUAGGCGGUUUGUCGCGUCUGCCGUGAAAGUCCGGGGCUCAACUCCGGAUCUGCGGUGGGUACGGGCAGACUAGAGUGAUGUAGGGGAGACUGGAAUUCCUGGUGUAGCGGUGAAAUGCGCAGAUAUCAGGAGGAACACCGAUGGCGAAGGCAGGUCUCUGGGCAUUAACUGACGCUGAGGAGCGAAAGCAUGGGGAGCGAACAGGAUUAGAUACCCUGGUAGAAUCACUAGUGAAUUC